CAUCGUUCUCAUCAUCUUUGGUGUCAUUGUCAUCACCCUCAUCAUCUUCAGUGUCAUUGUCACCAUCCUCAUGCUCAUCGGUGUCAUUGUCACCAUCCUCAUCAUCCUAGUCAUCUUCAUUCUCUUCAGUGUCAGUGUCAUCACCCUCAUCAUCCUCAUCAUCCUCAGUGUCAUUGUCACCAUUCUCAUCAUCGUCAUUGUUCUUGGUGUCAUUGUCACCAUCCUCAUCCUCAUCGGUGUCAUUGUCAGCGUCCUCAUACUCAUCGUCCUCAUCGUUCUCAUCAUCUUUGGUGUCAUUGUCAUCAUCCUCAUCAUCCUCAUUGUUCUUGGUGUUGUUGUCACCAUCCUCAUUCUCAUCGUCCUCAUCGUUCUCAUCAUCUUCAGUGUCAUUGUCAUCAUCCUCAUCAUCCUCAUCAUCUUCAGUGUCAUUGUCACCAUUCUCAUUCUCAUCGCCCUCAUCAUUCUCAUCAUCUUUGGUAUCAUUGUCAUCAUCCUCAUCAUCCUCAUCAUCCUCGGUGUCAUUGUCACCAUUCUCAUCAUCCUUGUGUCAUUGCCACCAUCCUCAUACUCAUCUUCAGUGUCCUCAUUGUGGCCAUCCUCAUCCUCAUCAUCUUCAGUGUCAUUGUCACCAUCCUCAUCAUGGCCAUCCUCAUCAUGGCCAUCCUCAUCUUCCUCAUCAUCGUUGGUGUUGUUGUCACCAUCCUCAUCAUCCUCGUCAUCUUCAUCCUCGUCAGUGUCAGCGUCAUCAUGCUCAUCAUCGUCAGUGUCACCAUCCUCAUCCUCAUCAUCUCCCUUACUCUCAAUGUUCUCAUCACGGCCAUCAUCAUCAUCAUCAUCAUUGUUCUUGGUGUCAUUGUCACCAUCCUCAUCCUCAUCUUGCUUAUUCUUUGUUCUCAUCAGGGCCAUCCUCAGUGUCAUCAUUCUCAGUGUCAGUGUCACCAUCCUCAUCUUCAUCUCCCUUACUCUCACUGUUCUCACCAUGGCCAUCAUCAUCAUCCUCAUUGUUCUUGGUGUCAUUGUCACCAUCUGCAUCAUCUUCAGUGUAUUGUCAUCUUCCUCAUCAUCCUCAUCAUCUUCAGUGUCAUUGUCACCAUCCUCGUCCUCAUCAUGGC
rnacentral:lncRNA from 1 species